CAGGCCUAACACAUGCAAGUCGAACGAAGGCUUCGGCCUUAGUGGCGCACGGGUGCGUAACGCGUGGGAAUCUGCCCUUUGGUACGGAAUAACUCAGGGAAACUUGAGCUAAUACCGUAUGAUGUCGAGAGACCAAAGAUUUAUCGCCAGGGGAUGAGCCCGCGUCCGAUUAGCUUGUUGGUGGGGUAAUGGCCUACCAAGGCGACGAUCGGUAGCUGGUCUGAGAGGAUGAUCAGCCACACUGGGACUGAGACACGGCCCAGACUCCUACGGGAGGCAGCAGUGGGGAAUAUUGGACAAUGGGCGAAAGCCUGAUCCAGCAAUGCCGCGUGAGUGAUGAAGGCCUGAGGGUUGUAAAGCUCUUUUACNCCGGGAUGAUAAUGACAGUANCCGGGAGAAUAAGCUCCGGCUAACUCCGUGCCAGCAGCCGCGUGAA
rnacentral:rRNA from 1 species